CUGACAGCCAAGUCGCGUGAGGAUGACUGUCUUAUGGAUUGUAAACUUCUUUUAUACGGGAAUAACAAGAGUCACGUGUGGCUCCCUGCAUGUACCGUAUGAAUAAGCAUCGGCUAACUCCGUGCCAGCAGCCGCGGUAAUACGGAGGAUGCGAGCGUUAUCCGGAUUUAUUGGGUUUAAAGGGUGCGUAGGCGGCCUGUUAAGUCAGCGGUGAAAUCUAGGAGCUUAACUCCUAAAUUGCCAUUGAUACUGGCGGGCUUGAGUGUAGAUGAGGUAGGCGGAAUGCGUGGUGUAGCGGUGGAAUGCAUAGAUAUCACGCAGAACUCCGAUUGCGAAGGCAGCUUACUAAGGUACAACUGACGCUGAAGCACGAAAGCGUGGGUAUCAAACAGGAUUAGAUACCCUGGUAGUCCACGCAGUAAACGAUGAUAACUGGGCGUAUGCGAUAUACAGUAUGCUCCUAAGCGAAAGCGUUAAGUUAUCCACCUGGGGAGUACGCCGGCAACGGUGAAACUCAAAGGAAUUGACGGA
rnacentral:rRNA from 1 species